rnacentral:rRNA from 1 species
CUAAUACCGCAUAAGACCACAACGUCACAUGGCGAAGGGGUCAAAGGAGCAAUCCGGUGAAGGGUGGGCUCGCGUCCGAUUAGAUAGUUGGUGAGGUAACGGCCCACCAAGUCGACGAUCGGUAGCCGACCUGAGAGGGUGAUCGGCCACAUUGGGACUGAGACACGGCCCAGACUCCUACGGGAGGCAGCAGUGGGGAAUAUUGGGCAAUGGGGGAAACCCUGACCCAGCAACGCCGCGUGGAGGAAGAAGGUCUUCGGAUCGUAAACUCCUGUCCUAAGAGACGAGCAGGAGACGGUAUCUUAGGAGGAAGCCCCGGCUAACUACGUGCCAGCAGCCGCGGUAAUACGUAGGGGGCAAGCGUUGUCCGGAAUGAUUGGGCGUAAAGGGCGCGUAGGCGGCCUUUCAAGUCUGAAGUGAAAUUCCCGUUUUUAAGAUGGGAACUGCUUUGGAAACUGUAAGGCUUGAGUGCAGGAGAGGUCAGUGGAAUUCCCAGUGUAGCGGUGAAAUGCGUAGAGAUUGGGAGGAACACCAGUGGCGAAGGCGACUGACUGGACUGUAACUGACGCUGAGGCGCGAA